rnacentral:rRNA from 1 species
CUCGGCAACGGAUAUCUUGGCUCUCGCAUCGAUGAAGAACGCAGCAAAAUGCGAUACUUGGUGUGAAUUGCAGAAUCCCGUGAACCAUCGAGUUUUUGAACGCAAGUUGCGCCCGAAGCCAUUAUGCUGAGGGCACGUCUGCCUGGGCGUCACGCACAU